AUUCAGCUGACGAGUUCCAAACGGUACGAAAUGUACAUCUUGAAU
rnacentral:hammerhead_ribozyme from 1 species